AGCCGACUCCUUGUGUCUUUUAGUUCAACGUACAAGUGAAUGCUGAACAAGACAUUUUUAGGCGACCAAAAUGUUACAGUUCUCAAUCAAGUCAUUUUCUCAUAGACUUCUAUACAAUCGGACUUCUUUUUGCAACGAGUGGAGUCGCCCCCUGCUGGCAAUUAGAAAGAAUGCAGGUUUAAAGCACUUCUGCAUUGGCUUCACUUUUCAGACCCGGAGGUUGCCGCUUGGGUUUUAAUCCAAGUUUUAGAGGAAACACCACAAGGUGAGCCGCAGGCUUGUCUGAGGUAAAGCAGACACAGACAUGUGAACACAGCGGAUGUUGUCAGAGAGUGAAUUAUGUCCAUAAUUUCGGUUAAUGGAGAAUAAUCCCAGGAUUUAUUGGAGCCUGCAGAAGAUAAACAAAGACUUCAGAAGAUGCUGUCCAGCCCCUUGAGUCUACAUCUGUGUCACAGCUGGAUGGGUGCAGCGCAAACUCCAAGGAGAAGUGGUCAGCGAGGCAAGAGUGUGUUAAUGGAACGCAUUCAGAGGCAGACACAGAGAGAGGUUGGGGGCUGCCAAGGAUGAGGAGGAGGAACUCGAGCACCUGAAGAUGGGGCUGGAUGAAGCUAAAGCCUCAGUCGCUAAUAUUAAGUUUAUCUGGGAGUUCUUCAAGUGAAAGCCGCGGAGUGGAGCUGUCGUGCACAGCUGUGUCUGUUAAAUGAUCACAAUGGAGAGUUGCUGGAGUGCCCCUGCCAGCUGAUUUGCAUUUUAGGCAAAAGUCAGAGCUUGUCACAGCCAAGCGGUUCAUGGAAAGAUAUUUUGACAGAAUGGAUGAGACUGUAAAGGAGGUUCAGCUCUCAUCCAGAUUUUAUGCCCUCCAAGUGUUCGUCGGAACUGAAUUUGAACUUGUGCUAAGCUAAGCUAACCGGCUGCUGGCUGUAGCUUCAUUUACCAUACAGACAUGAGAGUGAUAUCAAUCUUCUCAUCUAACUUUUGGUAGGAAAGAGAAUAAAAGUAUUUCCCAAAAUGCUGAACCAUUCCUUUUAAAUUACCAAAACAUCUCAUUCAAGGUCACAAAGAGAAUUUUCUAAGGUCCUGGUACAUUGUUUGAAAAUGUCCCUGUCUUUGCUUUCUUCCUCGUCACACCCUCUUUUUGUUGGCUAACCUGUGGGUUUGGUUGGUUGAGAGCCUGGAGAGCAGCUUGUUUAUCACACACACACACACACACACACACACACACACGUCUCUCCUCCCUUUUCCAACUGUGUGCCACAUGAAAGCAUUGUACACCCGUCUCUCUCUCUGUCAGCGGUGUGUUAUUAGAAUCCAGAGACUCCAGAGUGUCUGCUGCACUGUCACCUCCCACAACCUUCUUUACACGCAGUGUGUGUGUGUGUGUAUAAUAUAUAGAUGGGUGCAACCUGUAUCUGUUGCCUGACUCACUCUGACAGACACUCCAGGAAAGCACACUUUCAGCACCUUUGUCUGUG